rnacentral:rRNA from 1 species
CUACGGGAGGCAGCAGUGGGGAAUAUUGCGCAAUGGGGGAAACCCUGACGCAGCAACGCCGCGUGAGUGACGAAGGCCUUCGGGUUGUAAAGCUCUUUCGGUUGGGAAGAAGGGGUAGUCAGUUAAUAAGUGAUUACUUUGAUGGUACCAAAAGAAGAAGCACCGGCAAACUUCGUGCCAGCAGCCGCGGUAAUACGAAGGGUGCGAGCGUUGUUCGGAAUUACUGGGCGUAAAGGGUUCGUAGGCGGGAAUGCAAGUCAAGUGUGAAAUCCCCAGGCUCAACCUGGGACGUGCAUUUGAGACUGUGUUUCUUGAGUUUCGGAGAGGGUGGUGGAAUUGCUGGUGUAGGAGUGACAUCCGUAGAGAUCAGCAGGAACACCGGAGGCGAAGGCGACCACCUGGCCGAAUACUGACGCUGAGGAACGAAAGCGUGGGGAGCAAACAGGAUUAGAUACCCUGGUAGUCCACGCCGUAAACGAUGAUAACUAGGUGUUGGGGGAGUUGACCCCUCCAGUACCGUAGCCCACGCGCUAAGUUAUCCGCCUGGGGAGUACGGUCGCAAGACUAAAACUC